GUCCAAUGAAACUGGUGCUUGCCUUGGACAUCUCUAGCACUGCCACUCCUGAGCGCCUGUCUUGCUCACAAGAGCAAGCCCAGCAGGACCUGACCUGCCACUGCCCUUCAUGGACAGACUUCACAACACCUUAUUCACAGCCGUCCGUCCUGUGUCUGAUGCUAUUUAGAACAUCUUACCUCGAGCUUCAUAUGAUGUCAGUGGAUUACAGUAACUGAAGGGCCGCUUUUCACACAAACGCUGCAUGGUUAGGAAAUACUUCCUGCAGAAAGCUUGUAUUUUGGCUACUUUUCAUCUCCAAGCUGAAGGAGAAAGAGCAGCAUCUUCCUGGUCUUGAGGGCUGCUCGAGGCUGCCAGGACACCUGAGGCCGAGCA